AUGUCCAGGAGGAUACCUUCACAUUCAUGUGAUAAUCUUGAGCACAAAAGAAUUCCACUAAAAAGAACUUUUCAAAAAAAUAAUCUAGAACAUAAGUCAUCAACCUAGAUUAGAUGCCAUCUGCCACAAAAACAUUUAUGCAUAAUAGCCAACAACUAAAAUCACAGAUGUGUAGGAAGUAAGAUGACACAUUAUUCACAAGGUGCAACAAUUUUCAGAUGGUGCUGCUCCAUAAGCUCCACAAAUUAAACUAUGCUACAAUAAUCACAAAGCUCUUCAAGCAGCUAGUACAAUGGGCAAGUCACCACCAAAUA
rnacentral:misc_RNA from 1 species